rnacentral:rRNA from 1 species
UACAGAGGUCCCCAAGCGUUUGUUCGGAUUCAUUGGGCGUAAAGGGUGCGUAGGCGGCGCGGUAAGUCGGGUGUGAAAUCUCGGAGCUUAACUCCGAAACUGCAUUCGAUACUGCCGUGCUUGAGGACUGGAGAGGAGACUGGAAUUUACGGUGUAGCGGUGAAAUGCGUAGAUAUCGUAAGGAAGACCGAGUGGCGAAGGCGGGUCUCUGGACAGU